UUCUCCUUGAGGAAUUAAAUGGAUGAAAUUUUCAAGAUUACUUGUACCCCUGUUGCCAAGCUACCUAGCUCUUCUGCAUUUGCUGACUGGAGCCUCAAGUACUAGUAUUUCCCUUUCCUGCUGUUCCUGUGGAGGUGUUGAUUCAGCACAGUUAGAGAUUAGUGUUUGAAAGAUAUAGCACUGAAGCAUAAAUUCAAGACAAGAUUGGAAACUGAAAAGUUCACGUAGGUUUUUACAUAUACUUUCUUAUGGGCAGAUGGUGGACUUUGCAGAUGCAUCAUUGAUUACUGCUUAUUCAUCUUUGGCAAAUAUGGUGGUGUUUGAAAUGUACGUUAUUAAAAUUUGCUCUUUUUCAUGAAGGAAUGUGUGCGAUUUCUUAACUAGUCAUUCAUACUGAUCAAAGCAGAUGUGUUUGUCUUAGUGCAGUUUAUUCAUUGUCCCCAACUGCUUAAUCCUGUGUCAACUUUUACUACCUGUGUAAAUUGUAUAUUUUUCUUCACAGGAACUGUCAUUUAUUUGAUAUCAAUUCAACAUACAGAACAAUGGAUUGCAACUUAUGUGACGUCCUGAAUGCCACUAAAUCCAAAUUAUCAUCUCCACAUAAACAGGCCUGCUAGCACAAUUAUCUAUAUGUGUGAAGGAAGAAAUAGUUAGCACAAAGCAGAAGGCUGAAGAGACAAAAAUGUGUGUGCAGAAAAGAAGCACGAAAAGGUCUCCCCAGAGAUCUGGUAAGCUCCAUGGGCUAGUGAUCCUGUUGAAACCAGAAGAAUGGCUAAACUCAGAACUCCAUGUGUCAGCUGAAUCCAGGCAAGGCUACUGUUUAUCUCACAGUUCUUCCACCAACUCCACUUAUGCACUCAUGAGUAAUCUUCACCAUUUUGAGAGAAGUGCCUUCCACCAAGAAUACGGACUGUGAGCAGAAGUGCAAAAAUUGAGGCUUUAAGCUGGAACAAAUCAGACAAUAGCAGCUGCACGCAGAUGAGCGGGCACAGCCUUUGAAAACAUGAGAAACAAGGAGGUUGUGCAGGGACAAGUAAGUAUUUGAAAGCAUGCCGGUUCUUCUCUGAUGUACCAAGUACUAAAUGUGCG
rnacentral:lncRNA from 1 species